rnacentral:lncRNA from 1 species
CUAAAAUAACGAUAUUUGAUGGUUCUUUUGACAAAUUAUGUCCUAAAUUUAUUUUGUAUUUCACGUUUAAUAGGUAAAAUUCUAUGAAUGAAAAGGAAUUGAAGGAAGCAAGCAAAAAUCGGCAAAGAAAUGACAAAGUCCAAAGUACGAGGAUUAAAUUGGCUAUUAGAUACAAAAUUUAGAGAUCAAAUUUCAUACUUUAAAAAGUGAUGAAUUUGAAUUGAAUCAAAGAAUACAUAAAUUGUAAGAAUGAAAGGACUCAAGGACUCAUGAUUUUCAUUAUCUAAAAAAGACAAAGGACUUGAAGGGUACUACAUCAUUAAUGGUUUGAAUUGGAGUUCUUUUUUUUAGUCAAAAAGUGAAGCAGCUUUGGGGAAAAAUUGAGCACCAAGUUGCUGAAUAUAUGUACGGGGUGGCAGCCUUUAUUAAAAGAAAAGACACGAACGGAAAUUUGAGGGGCAGAUUAUUAUAUAUUUUGCUCACACUUCGAGGCUGCCAGAAGAGAUUGACACAGACGUUGGGAAUUAGGGAGCUUUGGAGUUCUUUUCUGCCAUUAAUAGAGAGAGAACACGUGCCGUCUGACGAGGAAAGGCAGUGGUCGGUUGGAGCGAAAUUGGAAAUUAAUCACGUUCGUCGAUUCUUGAUGAUAUCUUUCAUAAUUUCUUAUUUUUCCCUUAUUAAUAUGUGUAGUUAAAUUUAAUUUUAGGGUUGAUAAUGUAAUCAAGUUAGGACCUUUAUUUAUUUUAUUUGAAAUUCUUCUUCUUUUACAUUUUAUGUGUAGAUUUUAAUUAUGUUAUCAAUACUUUGAAUUUUCUGGUAAAUUAUUCAAUGAUUUUGUGUACAAUAAUUA